CUUUCAGCCCUCACCUCCCAGGAAUGGGGAGGGGGCAUCCUACCCCAUAUCUGAGGUGCGACUGCGGGACGUAGAGCGGACUGGGCCUUUCCCGUUGGCGCGUGGCCUCAAUCAGAACUUCACAUCAAUGUAGUGCUCCCAAACUUUGGCAGUUGCAACUGAUCGUGUGAUAAAUCAUUCAGGCCAAGUGAGAGACAGUAAGAGAAAUGCAAAAGAGCCCAUGGCCUGUGACACUACUUCCAGUUCUACCACCCACCCGGGGGAACUUCCUUCUUGAUCCCCAAAGGCAAGUUGAGGCAAGUAACAGUUGGAUGUCACCCUGUUUAUCCUGGGAACAUUGGCCUGCAGUCAACAGCAGAAGUGCAUUUUUAGGUGGAAGAUGAAUGUCUGGAUAGCAGUCUCUGAUGGAGAGGCACAUGUGUCCACAUGGAUCUCUCUCUGAAUUCAGGUGGAAUGAAGGAAUCUGUUCUAUUUGGGAACUUUUCUGCUACUGGCACUUCCAAGAGGAGAAGCUUCUCCCAAAGUUCCAGGCUUGGAGGUUCAUCCUCCCAUUAUCUUUACAUUCUGUGUCAUGCCAAGGAAAGAAGACAUGCCACCUAUUACCUUGAGAAGUUCCCGUAGGUCCCUUACUAUUCUUAAACUCUACAAAGUGGGUGUGACCCCCAUCCCUGUGCAUGCUCCUUUGUUAACUUUGGCCACUCAUUCUUCACAUUCUUGAAAGCGCCAGAACCCACCAAUAAAUGGCCGGGUCCUCUGCUUAACCAGAUUGUUUCCUGCAAAGCGACAUGUCCUCCAAGCUUCAAUCUCACAUGCCAUGUUGGAUC
rnacentral:lncRNA from 1 species